GUUACAUCAAUGUUUACAAGAUCGCAGAAGUUGUAAUAACUAAGUCAAUUUUUUUCUAUUUCUUUAGUCUUUUUCUUUCAUUUGUUGUUUCGCACAAUUAAAAUUGCGCUCUAAUAUUGACCUAUUUUUACCCAUCCUUCUAUGGAUUGAGAUAAACCAUAUUAGAAUGGUCGGGUUCCUGACCAGCUUUGCGAUCAGUAUGGAAUUGUAUUGUCUAGCGAUGGCGAUUGUGUGACAAUCAACAAUUAAUUUAAUUAUUCAAUUCUGAGCAAAUUUAGCACUCAGCCCAUUUGGACUUUAAUGAAUCAUUACUUUCACCAAUUGGACUCCAAUGCGUGCCACCUAAUUUCAUUGCAAAGAAAUGGCCAUAUCGGAAUAAUGAAUGCAUAUGCUAAAUUAAAAAAAAAAUUAAAUAAUAAUUUGCGAGCUUAUGCUCAAGAAGAACAUUAAUUGCUGAAUUUGUGGUUUAAAACAUUGUUUGGCAACUAAAAGUUAACAGAUAAAUAUUUAUAUUUAUAUUUAUUCACUGAGCAUAUUAAUGGAAAGCUAUUGAAUUAUAUUGCUGAAAUUCCUUAU